ensembl:lncRNA
GUUAUAGAGUUGGUUUGGAGAGGUAUAGAGUUGGUUGGAGAGGUAUAGAGUUGGUUUGGAGAGGUAUAGAGUUGGUUUGGAGAGGUAUAGAGUUGGUUUGGAGAGGUAUAGAGUUGGUUUGGAGAGGUAUAGGGUUGGUUUGGACAUGUAAAAAGAUGGGGUUUUAGAGGGAUGGUUUGGACGGGUACUGGGUUUGGACAUGAUCACUGAUGAGAGGACUUCCAUCUGUUGAAACCUGAGCAUGUGGAAACUGUGUACAGCCACCCAGGUAACGGCAGUAACAUGAUCCAGGUGAGCUCUCGCUGGCAUCUGCUCCCUGAUCACACCAAAACACUCGCACGGCCACGCAGGACCAGCUUGACAUGCAGGACAACACACACACACACACACACACACACACACACACACACACACACACACACACACACACACACAGCUACAG